rnacentral:rRNA from 1 species
AGUGAACGCUGGCGGUAGGCCUAACACAUGCAAGUCGAGCGGCAGCACAGUAAGAGCUUGCUCUUACGGGUGGCGAGUGGCGGACGGGUGAGGAAUACAUCGGAAUCUACUUUUUCGUGGGGGAUAACGUAGGGAAACUUACGCUAAUACCGCAUCCGACCUACGGGUGAAAGCAGGGGAUCUUCGGACCUUGCGCGGUUGAAUGAGCCGAUGUCGGAUUAGCUAGUUGGCGGGGUAAAGGCCCACCAAGGCGACGAUCCGUAGCUGGUCUGAGAGGAUGAUCAGCCACACUGGAACUGAGACACGGUCCAGACUCCUACGGGAGGCAGCAGUGGGGAAUAUUGGACAAUGGGCGCAAGCCUGAUCCAGCCAUACCGCGUGGGUGAAGAAGGCCUUCGGGUUGUAAAGCCCUUUUGUUGGGAAAGAAAAGCAGCAGGUUAAUACCCAGCUGUUCUGACGGUACCCAAAGAAUAAGCACCGGCUAACUUCGUG